CCUACGGGUGGCAGCAGUGGGGAAUAUUGCACAAUGGGGGAAACCCUGAUGCAGCAACGCCGCGUGAAGGAAGACGGUUUUCGGAUUGUAAACUUCUGUUUUUAGUGAAGAAUAAUGACGGUAGCUCAGGAGCAAGCGACGGCUAACUACGUGCCAGCAGCCGCGGUAAGACGUAGGUGGCAAGCGUUGUCCGGAAUUCCUGGGUGUAAAGGGAGCGCUGGGGGGACGCCAAGUCAGCUGUGAAAACUACCGGCUUAACUUGUAGACUGCAGUUGAAACUGGUUUUCUUGAGUGAAGUAGAGGUUGGCGGAAUUCCGGGUGUAGCGGUGAAAUGCGUAGAUAUUCGGAGGAACACCGGUGGCGAAGGCGGCUAACUGGACUGUAACUGACGCUGAGGCUCGAAAGUGUGGGGAGCAAACAGGAUUAGAUACCCUGGUAGUC
rnacentral:rRNA from 1 species